UGUUUAUAUAAUGUAUUGUUUUAUAUUCUGUGACUGUUACUGGCUGCUCUUUAAGCAGUUUACUGGUGUUCAGUAUCUUAAUCAUUUGUAAUCACAUUUCAUGUUUAGUCAUAGAACAAUGACAUUUGUUAUUAAUUAUAGAUCUUCAGAUGUUUGCUAAUUCCAUUGAAUGUCUUGUGUGCUGAAAUGUGCAAAAGUGAAUCUUUCUCUUUGUACUUGUUGUAACAAAUGUAUUGUGAAGUGUAACAUUCUGCCAUCUGAGAUGCUGGUUAGUUUUGUUUGUUUGUUUGUUUGUUUGACUGCCAAGGUUGUGCACUUAAUGUGAGGAGGAAGAUGGAUACCUGUGGGGCGUUUAAGAAUGUCAUCAGUGUGUGAUAAAAAUAAUCUCCUGCACUUGAACAAGAAAAGUUUAUUAGAGCUUUCCAGAGUCAUCCAUUCAGAGAGCUCCUAAACUGCCUACUAAACACUGAAAUGUGAAGCUCUUACAAGAGCAAUAGGAUUUUGAAAUGCCAAAAUCAGUGCCUAUUUUUGUAAUGACAUUUUUAUAAGAAACAUUUCUGUAUCGCUGAACUGUAAUAGGCCAAACUUCUCAAAAGUCUGUAACACAAGCUGUGUAAAAGACAGCGAUCAUUGUGUAUGUGUUUUGAGAAGAGCAUCUUGACUUUUUACAGUUUUUUUUUUCUUUGUCUUUUUUUUUAUCAAAAUUUGGAGAUAUUUAUUUAAAGGCUAAAAAUCUGGAUUUUAAUGUGAUAAAUGGCAUUAAAACACUGGAUUCAACAGCUGGAAUCAGUG